rnacentral:rRNA from 1 species
GACGAACGCUGGCGGCGUGCCUAAUACAUGCAAGUCGAGCGGACAGAAGGGAGCUUGCUCCCGGAAGUCAGCGGCGGACGGGUGAGUAACACGUGGGCAACCUGCCUGUAAGACUGGGAUAACUUCGGGAAACCGGAGCUAAUACCGGAUAGGUUCUUCCCCCGCCUGGGGGAAGCUGGAAAGACGGUUUCGGCUGUCACUUACAGAUGGGCCCGCGGCGCAUUAGCUAGUUGGUGGGGUAAUGGCCCACCAAGGCGACGAUGCGUAGCCGACCUGAGAGGGUGAUCGGCCACACUGGGACUGAGACACGGCCCAGACUCCUACGGGAGGCAGCAGUAGGGAAUCUUCCGCAAUGGACGAAAGUCUGACGGAGCAACGCCGCGUGAGCGAAGAAGGCCUUCGGGUCGUAAAGCUCUGUUGUCAGGGAAGAACAAGUGCCAGAGUAACUGCUGGCACCUUGACGGUACCUGACCAGAAAGCCACGGCUAACUACGUGCCAGCAGCCGCCGCUGUAA